UGCUGACAAAGCUGCUCCUGACAAAGCCCAGCGGGAGGGGGGAACUGUCUCUUUGCUCUGCCUGUCUCCCGCUGAACAAGGAUCACUUUUAAUGGGCUGAAUACAUACAACACACAGCUGACAACAAAGAUGUUCGACUAACCUAACACGAGAGGGAAACAGCAACAGCACACAGGACACUGGGAUUGCUCAGUUCGGUCCCCAGACAGAGGGAUGGGAGCAGCACCCGAGGGGCAUCUCUGGAAGAUGGAAUUAAGCCUCGGCGUGUUUGGUUUGGCCUCCUGUGUCAGUGACAUGAAAGCCUCGGCUAUAAAUACACCCCGUGUCUCCAAAGGCUUCGUGGCAUUUUCCUGCCCGUGCUCUUGGUCCCUUUGGGAAGCCGGGAGCUGGGAGGAGCACAUGAGCCGGCUCUGGCUCCAGUGAUGCCGGCAGAGCAGUUCCCAGCCUGGGACAGCCCUCAGACGAAGCCACCGGCCCCUCCAGAGCCCUGCUGGCUUGCAGAUGUUUAUCAGGGCCGAUACAGCUGCGCUGGCUCUUUGCACAGGAGGAAGGGGAGGUUCUGCAGCGAUGAGCUGAUCCCCAGCCCUGAGAACUGAGCUCGGGGGUCACGGUGGUGCUGAACCCCAAAGGGCUUUGGCACUGCUCAUUCCAGGAGCUCCCAAACACCUCCAGGGCCUGCUGGCUGCAGACACUCCACCGAGGCCCUCCCCGGGGCCAGGGUGCCCGGCUUGUCCCGCCGACGUUCCCGCAGUGGCCCGGGCAGUGUUCCACGGAGCGCCCACGGGGUAAACACGGACACAGACACAGUAGCAGCCCAGUAAUUACGGCCCUAAUUCAGCAAAGCAUCCCCACUUGUAAGGCACCUAAGCAUGUGCUUAAAGCUAAUUACAUGCUUAAAGAUCUUUCCUGAAUAAGCAUGGAUUUGAGGCUGUGUUUGGUACCUCCCGUACUUAACUGUGAUUCAGCCAAACACCUCCCCUGCAACCCAAACCCGUCGGGAAGUGAUUUCGGAGCCCGGCUCCAGCGCUGGAAACCAAACAUCCCUGCGCCUCUCUCUGCAGGCUCGCUUUGUAGAUAUGAAAAUAAAUA